rnacentral:lncRNA from 1 species
AGUGAGACUGAAAUCGAAGUCACAGCACCUGUUCAGAUCAUAGCUCCUGGAGCCACCAAGCUCCCCGCCUCUGAGACAAGGUCUACAACAGACCACAUCAGGAAGAUGGUGAAGCCUUCCAGAGACUCUUCCGGCAUUUUCUGACAAUUUCCCUGAGCACUCACCCCGUCCUUGGGUCAAGGCUCUAAGCUUUCCUGACCUCAUAGCUGUGUUGCUGUGGGGCCCAUCAGUGAAGCUGCCAGAUGCAAAGGAGACCUGCCUAGAUAAUCCCCGGACAAAACAGACUCAGGAAAUGAAGAGAGGCUGCCCGGAUGGAUCCAGUAGGUCACAUUUCUGCAAUCUCUUUUGGACCAUGGAGUCUUCAACUUAUGCAGUAUAUUGUGAGACCAGCAUUCCAUGGAACACUUCGGUCAAGGCUACUGUGUGAAAUAAAACAGACAAAGGACUUAGAACAGGGCAUACAGCCCUGUGUAUGCCCUUGGUGCCUUACUAGUUGGGAAGUGCUAAUGCAACAGCACACCUUCUCUUCUGGCUGUCUUAGCAUCCCAUGCCGUCCAGCAAUCAGAAAGUGUCAGAGAGUGGAUGUCAUGCUGCUUGUGCCAACUCAAGAGUUCGAUCUUCCCAGGAGGGAACAUGAAGAAACAGCCGAGAGAGGUGGCUCAAUCCAAUCCAGUAAAAACGGUGGCGCAUGA